rfam:Schistosoma curassoni strain Dakar, Senegal genome assembly, scaffold: SCTD_contig0007003
AUCCAGCUGACGAAUCCUAAAUGGGAUGAAACGGGCGUCCUGAAU